GUGGGGCGGAGGCUGUCCCCUCUCCGAAGUAAAGCCGGGGCAGCCGGCGGAGCCAGGGUUUUCCCGAUAGUCUGAGAACUCCAUUGCUGCAGGGGAGCGUACACAGACGUUACGUUUUUGGAAGUUCUAGAUGAAAAUUCCUGUGAUCCAACCCAAGGAAACAUGAUAAAGCAGGAAGUGAGAUGAGGGAAGAACCUAAGUGUUAGAAGGAGAAAAGGAGAAAGGGGGAAAAAGUCUCAUACAAACCUGAAGCAUAACUGACCCAGGUGUAUUGCUCAGCGGGAGAGCACCUUUUGCUGGGUCCAGCAUAUGGCCAACAGAAGCUAUGUCAGUAUCUGCAAACUCAGCAAAUUCUGAAGUAAACUGGAUUAGGUAAGAAAGAAUUUUUAAACUUCAUGUCCUAUAGCAUGUUGGUGAAAAACAGAUGUAUUGUGUUGUUCUGUCUCCCUUCCACAAAAUAGAUAAGUCCUUGUCUCACUCUGGUAACAUGUCAUAAUUCUAUUCCAGGUGGGGAGCUAUUAGCUACGAAUUGUUACUCUGCUUGGAGAUAGAUUUCUUAACCUUUUUCUUUCCUUUUCUCAUUUAUUUAUUUAUCAAGUAGUGAAAGUACAACUACCGAUGUAGGCAAAAUAGCUGACUCCCAGGCUUAUCAUAACAAGAACAUAGUAAAGAAACAGUAAGUUACUCACUGAGAAUGCGCGUUUAAAAAUUACAUUGAUUAGCGGCUCUGCUAUGUGGCCUUCAUUUGUGACAGCACGACUGUAUUUGACUCAGAUUGCAUUAGAAGUAUUAAUUCUAUUCUCUAACGUUCCCUAGGAGUAGAAAAGCCCUUCUGACUGAUCAGUUACUUCUCUUUCUCCUCCUUUUCAUAAAUUAGUUGCUAGUAGAGAUUUCUGAACUGUGUGGUGCGUGGUAUGAUGAAAUACAGAUGUCCGUGCUGGUAAAAUUCUUAGUUGUAUUUUUGAAAGAACUCUUCAGCCUCAUCUUGGAAAGAAACUACCAUGUUUAAUUUCUACAGACUUCACCUCUCAGUUUUCUUCUAAGAGUGAUUGUUACAAAUCAUACUUUAAAGGCUGCUAGUCUUGAUUACGAGUCUGUAGUGUUGAUGGUUUUGCUGAUGGACAGUGCCUGCAGUAUUGGAAGAGGAAUAAGCUUUUAUAGCCUUAAUGCCAUAAGAAAGAACUGUACUGCUUUCAUUACAGCUCCUGUCUGGAGAAUUGACUCAUAGCACACUUUUUCCUUUGUGUGUUCUUUGCAAAAUAAAAUAAAAUUAAAAUAUGGUAGCUCACUCUUCCCUCAGAAUUCAUGGCCACAACAGUGUCAACUUAUUUAUGAAAGGAAACCCAAGGAUUUCAUUGUAAAGAAUUUGAAAAGAAAAAUCAGUUUACAGAGAAUAUUAACACUGAAUGUAGCACAGGUUCCAAUUAAGGAUUUUCCUAUCUAAGCGUUAAGUUAAUCUUCUUGCAUGUCUAUUUUCAAGUAUUAUAGCAGAAGGAGUGUCUCUUCCUAAGACACUGUGGUAAUGGAGCUAAUGACAAAACAGUUGGUGCUGUCACGCUAAGGUGAUCUUCACUCUUGCAAGAUAAAAUAUAGUUAGACUGGCACAUUUUUGCAGGGGUAGGCACUUAACCAUGUGUGUAAAAGAUCUGACUCCUUUUAGCCAGCAGAUGCCUCUGUCCUUGGCCAAGAUGUCUGUACAAGGUAUAUAAAUCUGUAGAAUGCUCAACAGUCUGUACUAUAUGCCAUGGUUUCCUCUCCAAAAUGCCUUUACUUGUGUCAUGGAAAUAUUAAGUUGCAGCCUGACCCAGUGAUUGAGCACCUGGUGGGAAGGCAGGGCCAACCCAGGGAAGCUCAGGUAAGUGUAAUGCAACUGAGUGACUGGAAAGGGUGCAGCCAGCAUCCACCCUGUCCCAGACCUCAUUUAAGAGUUGGCAGUAGAGGUACAGGUAUCUUGCUGGAGAUCUCUGUGUACCUGAGACCUUUCAAGGGUAAGCAGAUUUUUUUUUCCCCUUUGUUUCUGUGUCAAUGGCUGCUGUAUUUGGGCUAAUCCUUGCUGCAGCCUAGGACUUUGCUAGCCUGCUGUCACUGCCAUGCUCUCCACUGCGCUUUAGCAUUACAGACCUCUAAAUGUAUAAACGCUCUGGGGACUAGGUGGAGGAUCUUGGAGUGUUGCACCAUACCUGCUCAGGUAAAACUGUCCUAAGGCCUUUGGCUGCCAGAUUGCUGUAGUACCAAGUAAGCUCUUCACUUUAUCCUUGACCUAAUUCCAGUUCUGUCAGGGAGGCUGUACUGAACUUCUAGGUAUUCAGUUGCACCUUCUCUCUCCUCUUUCUUGCCUUUGUACUCAUUCAAAUGGAGUCCAUUAACUGCAGUCCAGCAUUUUCUUGUUCCAGGUGUGCUGUUUCUACUUCCGACUGUCUGCAGAUGGAAAAUUUUGCUGAACAGUUCCUUAGAAGGAUUUGGUGUCACUAACCAACUGCAUACUAAAAGGGCCUUGGUAUAGGCUUUGGUACACCAAGUAUCAAUCCAUAUUUAAAAUUCAUACAGAAAUGACAUGUAUUGCAUGGAAAAAUAGACUAGGCUCUUACUCUGUUAUAACAAGGUAGAGGC